UCGGGCUUCGCGGCUCAAAACAACAGCGGCGGCGCCGCCAGCUCCGCGCUCCGCCACUGCCCCGGCGGGCGAGCGGGCGGGACUCGGACCCGCCGCUCUCGGUCCCGCGCAGAGCCGCGGGGAGCAGCGCACCGGGCACAGGGGAGGCAGCGCGGGGUCAGCCGUCCGAACACCGGGGGCCCCGCACUUCGCCGCCCUGGGGGCGGGCCCACGCACUCCUGCCUCCGGGGCCCCCAGGCCCCUUUGUUGUGCAGUGAGACCGGUAGCGCCUCCGCCGGAACCUUCAUUCGAACCCCGCGCCCUUGCCACAAAAGAGGUGAACCGGCCAGGGCCGAGGAGCCAACCCCGACACCGCAGGGUCCUAGCAGAGGCACCCCCGAUGGCGAGGGGCGCACGGCCAACGCCAUCCCCGAAGAGAAGCCGGGAGGAGCCGGGCUCGGCAGGCAGGAGCCGGCGGCGGCGGUGCGCUGGGCCUUCCGCCUUCGCGCCUCCGCAUUCUGCAGCCGCUUCCCCGCUGGGAUUCGAACCCGGACAGAGCCCCCACUGCUCGGGGCGACAAGUCUCGCGUUCCUCUCGCCUCCCCACAGAGAAGGUGCUCUCUGCCGGCUCUGAUUCUCACUGACCGCUGCCUCUGCUGUUUCCGGCCCUAGGUGAGUGUUGCCCGCGGCAGCGCCUCGCGCACCAGCAGCUCAGUCUCAUUGCCACCGUCCUUCAGAGAGCCGGUCGCCCCCGCCCUCACCCUGACUGUCUUUUCCUGCGGGCUGGGCAGAGGGUCCCUGGGCCUUGCUGCCAGACUGUGGGGUCUCAAUAGGGAAUCCUCAUGGGGGAGUAGGGUAUUGCUGCAGGCCCCAGCAGGCUCAGAACCCACUGACGGGUGGUGGGGGAGGAGGUCCCUGGUAGAGGAAAGAGGGGAGCUGGGCCCCCCCCCCCACUCUGGAGCUGUGCCUCCUAACCUAGCCAAGGCAGGCUGCAGCUGGUGGGCUGAACCUGGCUGGGGCCACCGCCAGAAAGAACACAAGGUCACCCCAGGGCCCCCUUGCCCGGAGCCUACCAGGGGCUGAGUAUGGGGCUGAGGAGAACAGUGGCACCUGUGAAGCACUCCCACCUGCAGACAGGGUCCCUUCCCCACCCCCAGCCCAGCCCAGCACUCUUCCCUGCCCGCCUGCCCAGGAGGCAGCCCGCAGGCCCCAAGGUGGGGGAGGCACAGCCUUCUCCUAGGGGCGCCCCAGCUCACUCAGGCCCUCUCCCUGCUCCCUCCCUCAGCUCAGGAGGCAAUAAAACCCUCCAGCCCUGGCCAGGCUGGGCCAGGACACCCUCCUGAUUCUGGGGCUGUGCCCUUGCCAGGGUCUGGGGAAGGAGGGCUGGAGGCCUGGGAAGAAGGCCUAGGCCCCGGGGAGGUGGAGGGUGCUGCUGCUUAGGAUCUGUCUGUGGAGGGGGAGGAGGGGUCCGGAGGAGCAGCCCAGGAGCCACACCCCCAGGCGCUGCAGCAGCGGAGGCCAGCCAGCGCGAUCAGCUCGAGGAGUGUAAGCAGACUGUCCCCAAGGCCAUGGCCCUGGCCGAGGUUGGGUCCUGGCCCGGCCAGGCCCUGCCCCCGCGUGGCCAGACUUAGAACAAAUUGGAGAGCAGGUCAGGCAUUGUGGAGUCCCAAGGAGAGAGUGAAUGAGCAAGGACAAUCAGACUGCCGUCCUCCUGGGCACCCAGCCCCGUGUCCUGCCCCACAGACAUUUGGGGACUCUGGAGUGGAGGUAUGGGAAAAGGAGCAGUUUUCAUUGCAUUGAUACUCAAAGGUUUAAGGGCAGUUUUCAAACUGAGCCAAGCUCUGGGGAAUCUUGUGGUCGAUGCCGGGCCUGGGGGACCCCGCACUGGGAGGUGGAAAUGCUACCCACCCCAUCCCGGUGACCUCCUUGGCUUCUAACUCUGUCAGACUGUCAGAGGCUGGUGAGGUGCGGGUUGGCUGCGUGGACGUGCCCUACACUCUAUCGAGUUUUGGAACUGAGUUCAUUGCUGCAAUCUAGGGGGCCGAGAAAAAGGACUUUUACCACCAACUUCCGCUGCAUUCUGGAGCCCCGAUUCAGCCCCCGGAGCUCUGCCCUCUCCCAGCCUUUCCACCAAGCAGAGAGAGGCAGCCGGAGACCCAUGAUCAGAUGAACUCUUUUGGGAGUGGGCGGGUUUGGGAGAGCGAGCAAAGCUGGUCCUACAGUGCUGUAAGAAGCAUUGUGUGGGGUGAGCAGGGAGGGGUCCCCGACUCCGAGGCUCCCCGAGAAGCCACGAGCAGUAAAACCACACUGGGUCUCAUGGUGCUCUCCUGAGUCCACUCACUCCAGGGCUGAAGGGUCCCUUUGCUCAGCCAGGACCGGUGCCCCAUGCCACCUCUCAGAGGCCAGGCCUCCGGAGAGGAGGUCUGUGUGCCUGGAGUGCAGGGUCCGAGCUGCCAAGCCGCCCUGCCCAGGCCCUCAGGUGCCAGGCAGCCUGGCUUCGGACUGCCCAAUGGGAGGUGGGAACGCGCUGGUGAUGGAUGGCCACAUGCGCCAACCUGGCCAGGUUCUCUGCUCGGCUCUGAGCUCCUUAAACUUGGCCAAGGGCUUUCAGGCACCCAGUGUCUGGGCUCCAUCAGAUUCCAUGUCGAGCUUUGCUCACCCUCUGGUUCCUGCUCAGAAAAACUCUGAAUAGUUAAGAGAAAAAAAGCAAGUCUCCUUUAAUUUACAUAUGGGCUUUCCUCUGAGAUCCGGAACUGUCCCCCGGAGGUUCCAGACCAUCAUCCCACCCUCAACUGGGGCCACUGAAUCAGAUGGAGCCGGGGGUCUCCCUCCCUGGGCACAUUCUCCUGCCCUACUCUAGAUGGACAUGACUCCCAGGUUUGAGUGACAGAAAGCUGAAGACUAUGAGGGAUGCUUGGGGACAAGCCAGUUUGGUUCCCACCACACAGAGGAAAAAACGGAGGUGGUCUUGGCGCCAGUAGGGCCUGAAUGAAGAGGGCUUCCAGCCCGGGGCAAAGAGCUAGCUUGAGCAUUUGGUCUAGAAUGGGGGUGGUUGGGGCACAGAAAAUCUACUACACAACCUACACAAUGGCCCUACAGGGGCCAUUUCCUCCCCAUGGAGCCUCCACACUGGCCCACAGCUGGCGCUUCCCCCAGCACGGAGCCUCAGCUCCAGACUGGGGCCGCAGGAGCCUCCCUGGACUCUGGAGUUACUAUUUCAGGCCCCUUUUUGCCCCUCUUCUUACCCAACGCCCAGGGAAGCUCACUGUGACCCAGGUAACUUUAGAGGACAGAAGAACACACAUCCCAACUUCUGGCCAGGGAGUUCAGAGCCAGCCGUGUGGCAUGGCUGCUCCCUGUGCUGUCAGAGUGGAGGCCUCCUGGCGCCAGCCCCGGUCCCUGGUUUUGGAGUGGGUCCCCGAGAGGGUUGGGGACGCUCCCAACCAAGACUUCCCAGGAAUGUGAACCAUGUAGCCGAUUUUGAACAAAGCCCAGAUGUUUGGAAAUCUACUUCCUUCACGGGCAGGAGGACGUUGUCCCUUGCAGACCGGCAGCCCCCUGGGAGGCCCCGGAGAGCUUUCUCUGCCUGUUUACACCCUGGAGUCCUGGCUGAGGGGACCAUCUCUCAGAAGCUCAGAUGCAUCUCCUCUCCACACCUAUGGUCUGCCACGUGCAUUAGGGGAGAAAUUGGGUUUUGUUUUGUUUGUUUGUUUGUUUUUAAUUUAAGAGAUUGAGGCUGUGGACCUGAAUUCCCCUUUUGAGCCCAGGAGGGAGUUGGCCCCAGGAUCCUGGCCCAAACCCUCUCUAAGAAGUGCAGGGAGCCUGGAACGACUCCUUCCCCAGCGCGGGGCGCACUGUCGGGGAGGACCAAGCCCAGGGCUCCUGCAACUGCUCGAGACCCCGGCUGCUGCCGCGGGGGAGCGAUAAACGGAAUCGGUUUCCCACGCUUUCCCUCUCCGUCCCAGAACCUUUAAAAAUCCGCCGACGAUUCCGGUUGUCCGGUUUGCGCUGAGUCUGAGCCCUGAGCUCAUGCUGCCCCCCGAGUCGCCAGCAACGCCUGGAGCGGGGGACCCUCGGGCCGCCCGCGCGCACGCGGGGAGCAACUUCGUUCCCGCGACCGCCCUGCGGAGCCGGCAGAGCUUCGCGCGGCCGAGGUGGUCCUGUGGCUCCUCCGGAACACGGCCGGCGUGGACGCGGCUAUCGUUUCUUGCUCCGGGUUCCGGCCGCGCGCAGACACGGCCCUGGCAACAACGAAAACGGCGAGCCGCGUCGCUUUCCCGGCGGCUGAGUCCCGGGAGCCGCCGGGUGGGAGCCCGCCCCCGCGUCCCCAAACACCUCAGACCCGAGGACACUGGCCGGCCGCCUGUAAUCGAGGCCUCGAGGCGGCGGUGGAGACACGGCUCCCUGAGCCGGCAAGAAAAGGGCAGAGAGCAGGACCGCCCACGGCAGGGAAAAAAUUGCCUCUUCUGCUGAGCGACCGGAAAGCUGGAGCUGUUUAUCAUCACUCCAACUUUCACUAAAAAGGAAAAACUAUCACUUAAACAAAGCCAUUGAAAACUCAGCAUCGUACAUGGAUUUCUCAACAUAAAUAAAUCCUGCAAACCCGGAGCUGUUCUCUCCGAGUGAUGUCACUCACUGAGGCUGCCUUCCCCAUCAAAUCGGCCGCGAGCUGUUCUCCUUUUGUGUGUGUGCUUUUUGCAAAAUCAGGAAAGCCGUGCUGACCUCCUUGCUGCGCUUUUUUCUCAGCUCUUCCCAGGACACAGAAAGGUCUCUCCCUGGUCGGCCCGGCAGAACCAGAUCUAAAUGGUGAAAACCGUUUCAACUGCACAGACUGUGUUUAAACCCUCUGCUUUGGAGUCAUGAGUUCCGAGUUGAAAGACUGGUAAAGCUUCCCGAAGAAUUUGGGCAGACCUCGGCAGAAGUUGAAGGAUCUCUGGGUCUCUCAGAGCCUACAACAAGCCUGGCUGCAGGCCAGUCACGCUGAAAUGAAUGAGCAACGUGAAAGUCACCAUGGGUGGGUAAAUGAGAUGUGGUCUCUCCGUACCAUGGAGGAGUAUUCAGCCAUAAAAGGAACAAGGUGCUGAUCCGAGCUCCCACAUGAAUGAACCUCGAAAACAUCAUUCUCAGUGAAAGAAGCCAGUCAUAAAAGGCCACAUAUUGUAUGAUUCCAAUUAUAUGAAAUGUCCAGGAUGGGAAAAUCCAGGGAGACAGAAAAUAGAUUAGUGAUCGCCAGAGCUGGGGGCGGGGGGGGGGCAGAAAUAGGGAGGAACUGCUUAAUGCGUACGAGGUUUCCUUCUGGGAAGGUGAGAAGGUUCUGGAACUAGAUCGUGGGGAUGGUUGCACAACAUGGUGAACGUGCUGAAUGCCGCUGAAUUGUACACUUUGAAACGGUGAAUGUUAUGUGAAUUAUAUCUCAAUAAAUCUGUUAUUAAAAAUAUCACUACUGAGCAUGCAUGUUUAAGAAUUUUUAUGCUCACCUGGAAAGCUCUUUUUAAAUUUUGAAAGGAGCACACAGCCAGAAGAGCAUGUCAC
ensembl:lncRNA